rnacentral:rRNA from 1 species
AUUGAACGCUGGCGGCAUGCCUUACACAUGCAAGUCGAACGGUAACAGGUCUUCGGAUGCUGACGAGUGGCGAACGGGUGAGUAAUACAUCGGAACGUGCCUAGUAGUGGGGGAUAACUACUCGAAAGAGUGGCUAAUACCGCAUGAGAUCUACGGAUGAAAGCAGGGGAUCGCAAGACCUUGUGCUACUAGAGCGGCCGAUGGCAGAUUAGGUAGUUGGUGGGAUAAAAGCUUACCAAGCCGACGAUCUGUAGCGGGUCUGAGAGGACGAUCAGCCACACUGGGACUGAGACACGGCCCAGACUCCUACGGGAGGCAGCAGUGGGGAAUUUUGGACAAUGGGCGAAAGCCUGAUCCAGCAAUGCCGCGUGUGCGAAGAAGGCCUUAGGGUUGUAAAGCACUUUUGUCAGAGAAAAAAAGACGAUUGUUAAUACCAAUUGUUAACGAUGGUAUCUGAAGAAUAAGCACCGGCUAACUACGUGCCAGCCGCCGCGGUAAGAC